rnacentral:rRNA from 1 species
UACGUAGGGUGCAAGCGUUGUCCGGAAUUAUUGGGCGUAAAGAGCUCGUAGGCGGCUUGUCACGUCGGAUGUGAAAGCCCGGGGCUUAACUCCGGGUCUGCAUUCGAUACGGGCAGGCUAGAGUUCGGUAGGGGAGAUCGGAAUUCCUGGUGUAGCGGUGAAAUGCGCAGAUAUCAGGAGGAACACCGGUGGCGAAGGCGGAUCUCUGGGCCGAUACUGACGCUGAGGAGCGAAAGCGUGGGGAGCGAACAGG